rnacentral:sRNA from 1 species
GAGAUCCUGCGCCCUGGCGGAGUGGUUU